GUGGGGAAUAUUGGACAAUGGGCGAAAGCCUGAUCCAGCAAUGCCGCGUGAGUGAUGAAGGCCUUAGGGUUGUAAAGCUCUUUUACCCGGGAAGAUAAUGACUGUACCGGGAGAAUAAGCCCCGGCUAACUCCGUGCCAGCAGCCGCGGUAAUACGGAGGGGGCUAGCGUUGUUCGGAAUUACUGGGCGUAAAGCGCACGUAGGCGGUUUUGUAAGUUAGAGGUGAAAGCCUGGGGCUCAACCCCAGAAUUGCCUUUAAGACUGCAUCACUUGAACGUCGGAGAGGUGAGUGGAAUUCCGAGUGUAGAGGUGAAAUUCGUAGAUAUUCGGAAGAACACCAGUGGCGAAGGCGGCUCACUGGACGACUGUUGACGCUGAGGUGCGAAAGCGUGGGGAGCAAACAGGAUUAGAUACCCCAGUAGUCC
rnacentral:rRNA from 1 species